rnacentral:tRNA from 2 species
GCCCCCGUAGCUCAAUUGGAUAGAGCAGAACUACCGAAAGUUCAGGUUCCAAGUUCGAAUCUUGGCGGGGGUU